rnacentral:piRNA from 5 species
GCGGAAGCGUGCUGGGCCCAUAAC